rnacentral:rRNA from 1 species
UACGAAGGCAGCAGUGGGGAAUAUUGCACAAUGGGCGCAAGCCUGAUGCAGCCAUGCCGCGUGUAUGAAGAAGGCCUUCGGGUUGUAAAGUACUUUCAGUCGUGAGGAAGGUGUUAAGGUUAAUAACCUUAGCAAUUGACGUUAGCGACAGAAGAAGCACCGGCUAACUCCGUGCCAGCAGCCGCGGUAAUACGGAGGGUGCGAGCGUUAAUCGGAAUUACUGGGCGUAAAGGGCACGCAGGCGGUUAAUUAAGUUGGAUGUGAAAUCCCCGGGCUUAACCUGGGAAUGGCAUUCAAGACUGGUUAGCUAGAGUCUUGUAGAGGGGGUAGAAUUCCAUGUGUAGCGGUGAAAUGCGUAGAGAUGUGGAGGAAUACCGGUGGCGAAGGCGGCCCCUGGACAAAGACUGACGCUCAUGUGCGAAAGCGUGGGGAGCAAACGAGGGAUUAGAUACC